GGAAGAGACUCGUCCCCGGUGGGGCGGCUGGUCUUCAAAAUCAGAUGGGGCCGCCAGCGGUCCCGGGCAGGUUCGACUCCUGUUCUCUUCCGCCA
rnacentral:tRNA from 1 species